rnacentral:rRNA from 1 species
GCCUCCUUUUCGCAGCCUUGAGGAAUAUUGGCCAAUGGGCGAGAUCCUGAACCCUCCCCUUCUCUUUCUUUCUUCCUUCCCUAUUUGUUGUAAACCUCUUUUGUAUGGGGGGAAUAAGCUUUACGAGUAGAGUGAUGACAGUACCAUACGAAUAAGCAUCGGCUAACUCCGUGCCAGCAGCCGCGGUAAUACGGAGGAUGCGAGCGUUAUCCGGAUUUAUUGGGUUUAAAGGGUGCGUAGGCGGCAUUAUAAGUUAGUGGUAAAAUAUUGGGGCUUCACCUCACUACGCCAUUAAUACUGUAGAG